AAAAAAAAGCAGCGAAGGGAGUUUGCAAAUAAUCAAGCGCCGAUGGCACCGAUCGCGGCUUCCCAGAAGGAGCGGGAGCGAGCGAGAGAAACCCUCUGCUGAGAUUAUGUGGGAUCUUGUUUAACAACACAUUUCAAUCAGGAGAAAAAAGGAACAGUCAACAGAAGUUGGUGAAACACUUCUGUCUUCCCCCCCUCCUCUUUAUAGAAAAGAGAGGAAAGGAAAAAAAUAAAAAGGCAGCUGAUUGAAGCUUUGCAACUCACUGGCUGUGGGGAUCAUAUAAUUUGUGCUCAUGCUUUACAAUAGCAUGGAAAAUUCCUACCUCUCCCCCUCUCCCCAAAUAAAUCUUCUAUUCCCUCAAGGCAUUUCACAAUCUGGUUCACUGACAAAAGUUCCAAUUUAUCUUUUUUUUUUUUUCGUUUAGCUUACUUGCAGUGUAAAUAUUUAGCGGAUGCAUUUAAAAUAAACAUACGUUAUUGCUUUUAGGAGUCAGGUUGUGUUUUUGUUUUGUUUUGUUUUAAUAGGAGCCACAUCAAAGAAGUGUUUACUAACUGAGAUUGACAGCCUAUUCUUCCCCUCCCUCUCUUCCCUUCCCCCCCCCCCCCCAACCCCCCCGGUUUUUUUAAUUUUAAAUCAUCCUUCUCUCCGAUUGAGCUGUAGGAGCACCAACCCGACGAGCAUCAUUUUUGUCGGCGCAUAGAGGAAAGCUGUAGGAGAAGGCGCAGGAACCCCCUUUGCCUGACAGGAGCUUUACAAAGGAAGGUCAGUCACCAGGUACCCAUUACGCAGGCAAAGGAAACUGAGACUCAUGCAAAGCCUCUGGCAAAGGUGGAAACAAAACCUCGGGCUGUGAUCCUGCAUUAAGAGCCGUCUGGAUCUGCCUGCCUGGAGCUCCUUACAGAUGAGCAGUCUGGGGCUGGAGCGGUGAAGACGUAACUCCCUUUGUGCCUGCUGUGCCUGCUGAUCCCCCAAAACGCUGCCUCUCGCUGUGCCGGUGCCACCCAGACCUGUCCCACCGCAGCGCUUGGUCGCAGCAGGGCUCAACUCCCGGCUACUGCCACUGGUGUCUCGAGGACGAGGCAAGAGGUAACUUUUCCUGGGGGAUUUCAGCGUGAGCCGAGCGCUCCAGCCAGCCUGGCCCUUGUCUCGGGGUGCUGCGGGUGCCUACGCUGGCAGACAGAAGCAGGGCAGGGAACAGCCCCUGCUGCCCAGCCGAUGGAGAAGGAUGUGAUCCCCAGGCUCCUGUGGGCCAUCUUUGUUUGGAAGGCUACUGAUGCUUCUGAUCCCAGCCUGCCUCCCUGCAGGAGGAGCCACAGGAGGAGAUGUGGAGAAGUCUUGGAGAAGCCUUGGAGAAGAGCAGAGGAGAAAACUGGAGGAGUGGGCUGCUACGGGAACCAGCUUCACUUCUUGGCCUUGCAUUCUGCUGCAGCGUGGCUCCAGAGCACUUGUCAGACACUGAACUGAAGGUUCCAGUCCUGCUGACCACUGUCUGUGAUGAGGAGACCCCCAGACUCCAGCAGACUCUCAGCCACUGCUCUGAUGGCAGGAGCUCUCCAAAUGUGACCAGGAUCUGUCAGACAGGACAAAGUGAAAGACAUGCUGGGCUCUGAGGUACAAGGGGGAUGGGAAGGGCUCUGUGUAGAGGGGGAGUGGUAGAGAGCAGAUGCCAUGCCUCUGUUGUGUUUUGUUAACCCAAAUUUAACACACUGUGGAAUUUAACAUACUGAAUUGAAUGGUGAGUUUCUCCCUUUUGUAGGAUGCCUGUCUUCCUCUAGCUGAUAACAGAGAUUUGUAAAUCUAUUAUUGCUUCCACGUACCUUCAGAGAAACUUGUGCUUUAGGUUUUAUGUGUUGAAAACUUUAGGUCCUAGGUCCACAUUCAAGUGUCUGUCCAAAUGUGAUUGGAUUACCAUUCCUUUAAGACUGGUCGUAUUCCUUUCCCUCAGAUAAAAUUGUCAUGCUAGAAGUUUUCCACCAUCCCUGUGUCUCCAGAGAGAAUCUUGGAGACUUGAAGGUGACUUUUCUGAAAAAUGGUCUCAAUAUAAUUCCAAAAAUACCUUAUAAUUUGGAGUCUGCUCCUCAACCUCCAGCAGAGAUCAAAGAGAUCCCAGAAAAAAUAUUAAGCACCAUGCAUUCCUAGGAGCUGAGCCUUUGGCUGUAAUGAAUCAAUCAACUACCCUUUUAUCAGCCACAUGUAAACUGACUUAGGGCAUUUUGGAGACAAAGGCUACUAGUACAAGGCUGCUGGUUUAGGCUUUGUUUUCAUUAAAAAGUUUGACUCCGAAGGAAGAUCUUUGUUUUCAAACUGUGUUUUUUACAUCUUCCUGUUAUUUUCACCUUCAGGCUUGCUCAGCCAGUUGGAUAUGAAAAACUUGUUCUUGCUUCCUAGUGGCAAGACCAUGUGUGGAUGAUAUGUAUGGGGUGCUAAUUACUGUCUGUCACUGGUAUUUAUGGGGUUCCAAUCACCACGGCACCGUGGUGCCAGGGACAAUAUUGAGAUAAGCAGGUAAAUUAUGGAACGUGGACUCUGCUCUUCCCAUCCACAGUGCUUGGCCCCUUCGACUUGGAGACUUUGUCCCCUUGCUCAUGCUCAGAUGUGGGCACCUGAGAAGAAGUGAGGUUUGUGCUUUGCUGUGAACAGCUCUGGCCUGUGAGCUCAGCCAGGCUGUACCUGGUACCCCUGGCUCCAUCUGGGAUCACAUCCUGCUCCCAUCCCUCAUGCUGGCCGUGGCACCAGCUCUGUGACCGGUGGCACUGGGAGCAGAGCCCACAGAAUGGCCUGUGUGGCCUUCACACCAGCUGCUGCUGAGCUCUUUUCCAUGGAAUGUUUUCCAAAAUCCAACAAGCUGUGUAAACUGGGAGAGCGGAAAUCAAUUGAGGUGCUGCUUCCCAGCCUGUGCAGGAUCACGGAAGAUGUCCCAGUCAGACAGCAUGGAAAGCUUUGAUCUCUUUGGAGAAAGGAACUGCCAUGAAGCAGAGGGCUGCUGGAGCCUGGCUGGCAUUAACAGGAAGAGUUUCUUCUGGCUACUGGCGCUAAAGAGACAGUUUGCUUCUCAGGCAAACUCAGCCCUUUGACCAACUUGACCAAAGCUGUGGCCAGAGAGUCAGUCUCAGUCUGAUUCUGAGAAAAACGCAUGCCUGGAACUCCAUUUCUACCACUACAGAGAAAUUAAUAUGAACCCACAAGAAAGUGGAGAUGACAUGAAAAAAUGCAGGUCACUGUAGGAGCUAGUUCUUAAGUGGGACAGGCAUAAAUUUCCUUAAUGUGCAUAUAGAAGGGGACGUAUUUUGUUUCUAUUAUUACUUGAUUGUGGGAGGUUAAAGGGAAAUUUUCUCACAAACUCAAGAAAGAAGUGUUCAAAACUAAUUUUUAAAAUGUGAAAAUAAAACCAAAAAAAAAUAGAAAGGAAAUUGUGAUGGAGGAUCUGUGUAAUUUUUUUU